AAGGGCACCACAAGAACGCGUGGAGCAUGUGGCUUAAUUUGACUCAACGCGGGAAAUCUUACCGGGUCCGGACACACUGAGGAUUGACAGGUAUUAUUAAAAAUAUUUAAGUUCGCUUAAUAUAUUUUUAUGUUAAAUAUGCUAGUCCUUUCAUGAUUAUGUGAUAGGUGGUGCAUGGCCGUUCCUUAGUUCGUGGAGUGAUCUGUCUGCCUAAUUGCGUUUCACUAAGGGCCUAUAUAUAUUACGUGCGUUGCAGGUACUUUGACCCCUCACAUUGAAAUAUUAUGUUUGAGUGCGUGUCUUAGUUUGCUUUUGCUCGCACAAUUAGGUCCUGAAAGCAACGAACGUGACCGCAACCUCUUGUUGCCUUUAUCCCAAAAAUCAUGUCGUUGUAUUUUAUACACGCGUGGUAAAAAAAGGCUUUUAAACUAGAGGGACCGCUGUAAUCUUUUUAAACCAGAGGAAGGUUGCGGCAAUAACAGGUCUGUGAUGCCCUUAGAUGUUCCGGGCUGCACACGUGCUACAAUGAUUAUUGCAGUGAGCAUCUCAUUUAUUAUACACCGCAUGCGCGUGUCCAUUUAUGCACAUAUUUUAUAUGUCGCAUAGAUGUGUACAUUGUGCGCGGUAAAGCCUACUUCGAAAGUAAGUGGGUAAUCAAUUAGAAGUAAUGAUUUCCUUUUUUUCGCACACAUAUAUGCGGCAUCUUUACCCGGGCGGAGCUUGUCUCUUCUUUUGUGCGUAUCGAUGUUUUUUCCGCAUGUGCAAUUGUCAAUUCAUGGUGGGGACAGACCAUUGUUAAUUGUUGGUCUCGGUCUUAACUAGGAA
rnacentral:rRNA from 1 species